ACGAACGCUGGCGGCGCGCCUAAUACAUGCAAGUCGAGCGAGAAGGUGUAGCAAUACACUUGUAAAGCGGCGAACGGGUGAGGAAUACAUGGGUAACCUACCCUCGAGUGGGGAAUAACUAGCCGAAAGGUUAGCUAAUACCGCGUACGCUUCCGGAACUGCGGUUCCGGAAGGAAAGCGAUACUGUGAGUAUCGCGCUCUUGGAUGGGCUCAUGUCCUAUCAGCUUGUUGGGAGGU
rnacentral:rRNA from 1 species